UCUCCUGGGAAACGGGUGGUAAUGCCGGAUGCUCCAUCACACUGCAUGGUGUGUUGGGAAAGCCUUUGCGGCAUGGGAUGGGGUCGCGUCCUAUCAGCUUGAUGGCGGGGUAACGGCCCACCAUGGCUUCGACGGGUAGCCGGCCUGAGAGGGCGACCGGCCACAUUGGGACUGAGAUACGGCCCAGACUCCUACGGGAGGCAGCAGUGGGGAAUAUUGCACAAUGGGCGCAAGCCUGAUGCAGCGACGCCGCGUGAGGGAUGGAGGCCUUCGGGUUGUAAACCUCUUUUGUUAGGGAGCAAGGCAUUUUGUGUUGAGUGUACCUUUCGAAUAAGCACCGGCUAACUACGUGCCAGCAGCCGCGGUAAUACGUAGGGUGCAAGCGUUAUCCGGAAUUAUUGGGCGUAAAGGGCUCGUAGGCGGUUCGUCGCGUCCGGUGUGAAAGUCCAUCGCUUAACGGUGGAUCCGCGCCGGGUACGGGCGGGCUUGAGUGCGGUAGGGGAGACUGGAAUUCCCGGUGUAACGGUGGAAUGUGUAGAUAUCGGGAAAGAAACACCA
rnacentral:rRNA from 1 species